rnacentral:pre_miRNA from 1 species
GGAGCCAUCGGGAGGUAUACCAAUCCAGCUAGGAAAAGAAACCUGCCAGGAGUCUUGGAGGUUGGCGACUGUGCUAAUGACUUA